GUGCUUGCUUCGGCAGCACAUGUGCUAAAAUUGGAAUAAUACAGAGAAGAUUAGCAUGGCCCCUGAGCAAGGAGGACAUGCAAAUUUGUGAAGCAUUCCAUAUUUUU